GAUGAACGCUGGCGGCGUGCCUAAUACAUGCAAGUCGAGCGAACAGACGAGGAGCUUGCUCCUCUGACGUUAGCGGCGGACGGGUGAGUAACACGUGGAUAACCUACCUAUAAGACUGGGAUAACUUCGGGAAACCGGAGCUAAUACCGGAUAAUAUAUUGAACCGCAUGGUUCAAUAGUGAAAGACGGUUUUGCUGUCACUUAUAGAUGGAUCCGCGCCGCAUUAGCUAGUUGGUAAGGUAACGGCUUACCAAGGCGACGAUGCGUAGCCGACCUGAGAGGGUGGUCGGCCACACUGGAACGGAGACACGGUCCAGACUCCUACGGGAGGCACCAGUAGGGAAUCUUCCGCAAUGGGCGAAAGCCUGACGGAGCAACGCCGCGUGAGUGAUGAAGGUCUUCGGAUCGUAAAACUCUGUUAUUAGGGAAGAACAAAUGUGUAAGUAACUAUGCACGUCUUGACGGUACCUAAUCAGAAAGCCACGGCUAACUACGUG
rnacentral:rRNA from 1 species